GACACACGGCGGGUGCUAACGUCCGUCGUGAAGAGGGAAACAACCCAGACCGCCAGCUAAGGUCCCAAAGUCAUGGUUAAGUGGGAAACGAUGUGGGAAGGCCCAGACAGCCAGGAUGUUGGCUUAGAAGCAGCCAUCAUUUAAAGAAAGCGUAAUAGCUCACUGGUCGAGUCGGCCUGCGCGGAAGAUGUAACGGGGCUAAACCAUGCACCGAAGCUGCGGCAGCGACGCUGAUGCGUUGUUGGGUAGGGGAGCGUUCUGUAAGCCUGUGAAGGUGUGCUGUGAGGCAUGCUGGAGGUAUCAGAAGUGCGAAUGCUGACAUAAGUAACGAUAAAGCGGGUGAAAAGCCCGCUCGCCGGAAGACCAAGGGUUCCUGUCCAACGUUAAUCGGGGCAGGGUGAGUCGACCCCUAAGGCGAGGCCGAAAGGCGUAGUCGAUGGGAAACAGGUUAAUAUUCCUGUACUUGGUGUUACUGCGAAGGGGGGACGGAGAAGGCUAUGUUGGCCGGGCGACGGUUGUCCCGGUUUAAGCGUGUAGGCUGGUUUUCCAGGCAAAUCCGGAAAAUCAAGGCUGAGGCGUGAUGACGAGGCACUACGGUGCUGAAGCAACAAAUGCCCUGCUUCCAGGAAAAGCCUCUAAGCAUCAGGUAACAUCAAAUCGUACCCCAAACCGACACAGGUGGUCAGGUAGAGAAUACCAAGGCGCUUGAGAGAACUCGGGUGAAGGAACUAGGCAAAAUGGUGCCGUAACUUCGGGAGAAGGCACGCUGAUAUGUAGGUGAAGUCCCUCGCGGAUGGAGCUGAAAUCAGUCGAAGAUACCAGCUGGCUGCAACUGUUUAUUAAAAACACAGCACUGUGCAAACACGAAAGUGGACGUAUACGGUGUGACGCCUGCCCGGUGCCGGAAGGUUAAUUGAUGGGGUUAGCGCAAGCGAAGCUCUUGAUCGAAGCCCCGGUAAACGGCGGCCGUAACUAUAACGGUCCUAAGGUAGCGAAAUUCCUUGUCGGGUAAGUUCCGACCUGCACGAAUGGCGUAAUGAUGGCCAGGCUGUCUCCACCCGAGACUCAGUGAAAUUGAACUCGCUGUGAAGAUGCAGUGUACCCGCGGCAAGACGGAAAGACCCCGUGAACCUUUACUAUAGCUUGACACUGAACAUUGAGCCUUGAUGUGUAGGAUAGGUGGGAGGCUUUGAAGUGUGGACGCCAGUCUGCAUGGAGCCGACCUUGAAAUACCACCCUUUAAUGUUUGAUGUUCUAACGUUGACCCGUGAUCCGGGUUGCGGACAGUGUCUGGUGGGUAGUUUGACUGGGGCGGUCUCCUCCUAAAGAGUAACGGAGGAGCACGAAGGUUGGCUAAUCCUGGUCGGACAUCAGGAGGUUAGUGCAAUGGCAUAAGCCAGCUUGACUGCGAGCGUGACGGCGCGAGCAGGUGCGAAAGCAGGUCAUAGUGAUCCGGUGGUUCUGAAUGGAAGGUCCAUCGCUCAACGGAUAAAAGGUACUCCGGGGAUAACAGGCUGAUACCGCCCAAGAGUUCAUAUCGACGGCGGUGUUUGGCACCUCGAUGUCGGCUCAUCACAUCCUGGGGCUGAAGUAGGUCCCAAGGGUAUGGCUGUUCGCCAUUUAAAGUGGUACGCGAGCUGGGUUUAGAACGUCGUGAGACAGUUCGGUCCCUAUCUGCCGUGGGCGCUGGAGAACUGAGGGGGGCUGCUCCUAGUACGAGAGGACCGGAGUGGACGCAUCACUGGUGUUCGGGUUGUCAUGCCAAUGGCACUGCCCGGUAGCUAAAUGCGGAAGAGAUAAGUGCUGAAAGCAUCUAAGCACGAAACUUGCCCCGAGAUGAGUUCUCCCUGACCCUUUAAGGGUCCUGAAGGAACGUUGAAGACGACGACGUUGAUAGGCCGGGUGUGUAAGCGCAGCGAUGCGUUGAGCUAACCGGUACUAAUGAACCGUGAGGCUUAACCUU
rnacentral:rRNA from 1 species